UACGAAGGGGGCUAGCGUUGUUCGGAAUUACUGGGCGUAAAGCGUGCGCAGGCGGCUUUGCAAGACAGAUGUGAAAUCCCCGGGCUUAACCUGGGAACUGCAUUUGUGACUGCAUGGCUAGAGUGCGGCAGAGGGGGAUGGAAUUCCGCGUGUAGCAGUGAAAUGCGAAGAUAUGCGGAGGAACACCGAUGGCGAAGGCAAUCCCCUGGGCCUGCACUGACGCUCAUGCACGAAAGCGUGGGGAGCAAGCAGG
rnacentral:rRNA from 1 species